rnacentral:rRNA from 1 species
UACGAAGGUCCCAAGCGUUAUCCGGAUUUAUUGGGUUUAAAGGGUGCGUAGGCGGGCUAUUAAGUCAGUGGUGAAAGCCCCAAGCUUAACUUGGGAACUGCCAUUGAUACUGAUGGUCUUGAGUACAUUUGAGGUGGGCGGAAUGUGUCAGUGUAUGCGGUGAAAUGCUUAGAUAUGACACAGAACACCGAUUGCGAAGGC